CCUGGUUCCACCACCAGCUCUGGGUAUGGUCGUGUCCACCCCACGUCCCCUCGGGAUGGGGGCUGAGACGCCGGCUGUCCCGUUGGAGUCAGGUCGCGGCUGUGAAGACACAGUGGGGCGCCUGGUGAGCCCUUGUGGCUGGGGUGCUGCAUGUGUCCAUGUCUAGGACCGCAGAAUGAGCGGCGUUCGCCUGGGCGUCGGCUUCCGCUCCUGCAGCCGCGUGAUGCCCACCCCGAGGCCGCCGGCCUGCACACCUGUGAGACCCUCGGGCUGACACGGCUACUCCUGCUCCACUGUGCCGGCAGCCACUGCGGCCACUGGGACGCGUGCCGGUCACUGUCCUCUGCUCUCUGGUCACCACAUGCCCCGUCCUCGGUGCUGUGGGUGGCGGACCCGCAUCUGUAGCUCCUCUGAGCUUCUGGUGCCUCCUGCGCGUUUCCUUCGUGGAGCCUCCUGCGUGUCCCGGCGACCUGUGGAAAUCGUGUUUGCGCUGAACAAGCCAGAGGUGGUUUCUCGCUACAGCAGGGAGGACCCGUUCCACAUCCUGUGACAGGGACGGAGGAGGGGGUGUCCCUGGCCAAUGGAGGGUUCCUGGACGCUGGGCCCACCGUGGACUCAGGAAUUUCUGUUUGUCUUUAGGGUCUUAUUACUUUCCUGGGGCUGCCCUAACGAAGCCACAGACUCAGGGCUCAACCCGCAGGCAUCCCUCUCAGCCUGCAGGCCGCAAGCCCUAAACUGAGGUGUCGCGGGGCCGUGCUGCCUUUGGGGGGGCACCCUGUGCAUCUUCCAGCCUCUGGUGGUGCCAGACAUACUCGCCGUCCCUUGGUUGGUGGAUGCGUCACCCCUUCUCUGCCUCCAGGGGCACACGGCGUUGCUCUCUUGUUGGGGUGGGAGUCACCGACUCUAGCUGGUCACUGACCCCCUCUUACUGAUGGUGCCUGCAGUGGCCCUGUUUCCAACCCCAGGACGCCGUGGGGAUUGCACAGCAUCAGUGUGUCCGGAGCUGCUGGGUUCUUCUCAGUGGCUGCGUGAGAAGCCGUCGGGAGACUUUCAGGACGUAAUCACAAAGGCCGGAACGAGCAGAAGGUACCCUCACAGACCAAGCGUGAUCUGAGUUCCUGCCAGGGAGCACCUGGGCCCAGGACAUGGGUGUCGCCCAAACGUUCACGUGUUCCUGCGUUUGCUUUCUCCUUCUCACACCUGAAUCUGCAGAGUGGAAUAUGUCGGGGUGUGUUCCCCACACCAGGGUGUGCUGCCGCCGGGGCGGCCGUUCGUGUUGCUGCAACGAUACAUGGUCUCUACUCUGCAGUCUGCAUUCACAGGUCUUCGGUUCUCUGUCCCGGGAAGGACUCCCACUGCUCCCGGGGGCCUUUCCGAGUACCUCACCUUCUUGCUUGCCAUCGUUGCCGGGGUCCCUCUGCCAUUCCAUCCUCCAACUGGUGACUGUGCAGCUAUGAGGACUUUUGGUUUUUGUGUGUUAGUUUUAGCCUUACUGAGUUCGUUUAUCCUUUGAGUCUGUUUCCUCCCUGUUCAUGGCCUGGUGCUACACUCGCUGCCUGGUCUGGAGUCCCAUGUGGCUAAGCUCGCGUGUACAGAUGAGAUGAAAUGAGACCAAAGGCUCACAAUUCCGCCACAUUCGCCCCAUUCCCAGUGCUUGGCGGCCGCACGGGCUUGGCGGGUUUCCGACACUGAGCUUGUGGGACAUCCCCUCAUCGUGAAAAGUUUACUGCAUAUUACUGUUCCAGCGUUUAACAGGUACGUCAGUUUAGCCUUUGCAAAUGGACACAGCUGGCUUUGGGCUCUGUUCUCGGGGCCCUGACGGGUUCCCUGUGUCUGACUGCAGCGGCUGAGGCCUCCAGGGCCGGGCUGGCGGGCGAUGAAGGCAAGCAUAGUCCUCAUCUUGCCCCUAAUGACACCAGCGUCUGCUUCAGUGAGGUGGAGACUUUAGAAAAGGCUCUGUUACUAUGUUAAGAAAGCGGCUGUCACUUCCUAUUUUCCUUACUGUUUGUACUUUUAUCAGGAAUGGGUGUUAAAUUUUGCCAGAGGCUUUUUGUGCACCUAUGGGGAGAAAGCAUGUGAUUUUUCUCUUUGGGUCUGUCAAGAGUGACUUUCACAAAUGGAUUUCCCAGCAACCAGGCGGGCCGUGGCAUCUGGGCGUCAGUCCCGCACGUGGUCACCAUGUCUGUCUUCCCACCCAUUGCACCUUCCAGUAGGGUCUGGGGGUCAGAGCUCCCGUUGCGGUGGGGCUCUGCCGGCCGGCCUUCUAGGAGGGGGCUGGGGUCAGCACUCCUGGGCGGGGCUCCACUGGCCGGCACAGUUUAGCGUGUGCCCCUCCACUUCAGGGUGCCGGAACAACCGGGCAAGCUGUGACCAUCUGGUCCCUAGACAUGUGGUGGAGUUCAUCUGUGGAGUCAUUAGGGCCCGUUUUUGUUGGGGGCUGCGGUUCGCUGGAGGCUUUUUUCUUCCGUGGAACCGGUGUGGUUAGGGUCCCGCCCCCCACUGUAGCCGCUUCAUCUGGAAAUUCGCAUUUAUUGCGCUCCGCAUGAAAUGUCACUACGGCAUAGUUAUUCUAUGUCAUUUAUUCCU